AUCAAUCCAAAAAAAAAAAGGGAUAAAAAGAUUUUAACUAAUAAGAAGGUAGCUUUCUGGUUCUUUAACGUUAGGUUACUUUCAAUUCUUAAAAAAUACAAAAAUUGAAUUGAAUUAAAUAAAAAAAAUCAAAUCAAAUAGGGUUUGAACAGAAGCGUUGAACUUCUGGAUAAUAUAUUUUUGUUUGUGGAACCAGUCUAGAAUCUAGAUAAAGAUAACAACCAGUUGUUCAUAAAAUAUUAUAAAUACGCGUCCGAACGAGCCAGAUGGCAAUCCAUGCGAGGAUGCCUUCUUCAAGCUGCUGCUUCCUCCUGGACGCCCUAUACUCUUUGUUCAUUGAAUUUUGUCACCAGCCGAC
rnacentral:lncRNA from 1 species